UACGGAGGGUGCGAGCGUUGUCCGGAAUCACUGGGCGUAAAGGGCGCGUAGGCGGCCUGAUAAGUAGGGGGUGAAAUCCUGCGGCUUAACCGCAGGGCUGCCUUCUAAACUGUCAGGCUAGAGCACAGUAGAGGCAGGUGGAAUUCCCGGUGUAGCGGUGGAAUGCGUAGAGAUCGGGAAGAACAUCAGUGGCGAAGGCGGCCUGCUGGGCUGUUGCUGGACGCUGAGGCGCGACAGGCGUGGGGAGCAAACAGGG
rnacentral:rRNA from 1 species